GACGAACGCUGGCGGCGUGCUUAACAUAUGCAAGUCGAACGGAAAGGCCCAGCUUGCUGGGUACUCGAGUGGCGAACGGGUGAGUAACACGUGGGUGAUCUGCCCUGCACUCUGGGAUAAGCCUGGGAAACUGGGUCUAAUACCGGAUAUGACCGACUGUCGCAUGGUGGUUGGUGGAAAGCUUUUGCGGUGUGGGAUGGGCCCGCGGCCUAUCAGCUUGUUGGUGGGGUAAUGGCCUACCAAGGCGACGACGGGUAGCCGACCUGAGAGGGUGAUCGGCCACACUGGGACUGAGACACGGCCCAGACUCCUACGGGAGGCAGCAGUGGGGAAUAUUGCACAAUGGGCGCAAGCCUGAUGCAGCGACGCCGCGUGAGGGAUGACGGCCUUCGGGUUGUAAACCUCUUUCACCAGGGACGAAGCGUGAGUGACGGUACCUGGAGAAGAAGCACCGGCCAACUACGUG
rnacentral:rRNA from 1 species